GAUGAACGCUGGCGGCGUGCCUAAUACAUGCAAGUCGAGCGAACAGACGAGGAGCUUGCUCCUCUGACGUUAGCGGCGGACGGGUGAGUAACACGUGGAUAACCUACCUAUAAUACUGGGAUAACUUCGGGAAACCGGAGCUAAUACCGGAUAAUAUAUUGAACCGCAUGGUUCAAUAGUGAAAGACGGUUUUGCUGUCACUUAUAGAUGGAUCCGCGCCGCAUUAGCUAGUUGGUAAGGUAACGGCUUACCAAGGCAACGAUGCGUAGCCGACCUGAGAGGGUGAUCGGCCACACUGGAACUGAGACACGGUCCAGACUCCUACGGGAGGCAGCAGUAGGGAAUCUGCCGCAAUGGGCGAAAGCCUGACGGAGCAACGCCGCGUGAGUGAUGAAGGUCUUCGGAUCGUAAAACUCUGUUAUUAGGGAAGAACAAAUGUGUAAGUAACUAUGCACGUCUUGACGGUACCGAAUCAGAAAGCCACGGCUAACUACGUG
rnacentral:rRNA from 1 species